GACGAGGGAUCCUAGCGUUGUUCGGAAUUACUGGGCGUAAAGCGCACGUAGGCGGCUUUGUAAGUUAGAGGUGAAAGCCCGGGGCUCAACUCCGGAACUGCCUUUAAGACUGCAUCGCUUGAAUCCAGGAGAGGUGAGUGGAAUUCCGAGUGUAGAGGUGAAAUUCGUAGAUAUUCGGAAGAACACCAGUGGCGAAGGCGGCUCACUGGACUGGUAUUGACGCUGAGGUGCGAAAGCGUGGGGAGCAAACAGG
rnacentral:rRNA from 1 species